rnacentral:rRNA from 1 species
UACGAAGGGGGCUAGCGUUGCUCGGAAUUACUGGGCGUAAAGCGCACGUAGGCGGCUUCUUAAGUCGGUGGUGAAAUCCUGGAGCUCAACUCCAGAACUGCCUUCGAUACUGGGAAGCUCGAGUCCGGGAGAGGUGAGUGGAACUGCGAGUGUAGAGGUGAAAUUCGUAGAUAUUCGCAAGAACACCAGUGGCGAAGGCAGCUCUCUGGGUCCCUACCGACGCUGGGGUGCGAAAGCAUGGGGAGCGAACAGG